AUUGAACGCUAGCGGGAUGCCUUACACAUGCAAGUCGAACGGCAGCAUAAGAGAGCUUGCUCUCUUGAUGGCGAGUGGCGAACGGGUGAGUAAUGUAUCGGAACGUGCCCAGUAGCGGGGGAUAACUACGCGAAAGAUUAGCUAAUACCGCAUACGACCUGAGGGUGAAAGUGGGGGACCGCAAGGCCUCAUGCUAUAGGAGCGGCCGAUGUCUGAUUAGCUAGUUGGUGAGGUAAAGGCUCACCAAGGCGACGAUCAGUAGCUGGUCUGAGAGGACGAUCAGCCACACUGGGACUGAGACACGGCCCAG
rnacentral:rRNA from 1 species